CUGGCUCAGGACGAACGCUGGCGGCGUGCUUAACACAUGCAAGUCGAACGGUAAGGCCCUUUCGGGGGUACACGAGUGGCGAACGGGUGAGUAACACGUGAGUAACCUGCCCUUGACUCUGGGAUAACAUCUGGAAACAGGUGCUAAUACUGGAUAUUCUGCGAUGCCUGCAUGGGUGUUGUUGGAAAGUUCCGGCGGUCAGGGAUGGACUCGCGGCCUAUCAGCUUGUUGGUGAGGUAGUGGCUCACCAAGGCUUCGACGGGUAGCCGGACUGAGAGGUUGACCGGCCACAUUGGGACUGAGAUACGGCCCAAACUCCUACGGGAGGCAGCAGUGGGGAAUAUUGCACAAUGGACGGAAGUCUGAUGCAGCAACGCCGCGUGCGGGAUGACGGCCUUCGGGUUGUAAACCGCUUUCAUCCAUGACGAAGCGAGAGUGACGGUAGUGGGAGAAGAAGCACCGGCUAACUACGUGCCAGCAGCCGCGGUGAUACGUAGGGUGCGAGCGUUG
rnacentral:rRNA from 1 species